rnacentral:rRNA from 1 species
UACAGAGGGUGCGAGCGUUAAUCGGAAUUACUAGGCGUAAAGCGUGCGUAGACGGUUACGUAAGUCGGGUGUGAAAGCCCCGGGCUCAACCUGGGAAUUGCAUUCGAGACUGCGCAGCUAGGGUGCGGAAGAGGGAAGCGGAAUUUCCGGUGUAGCGGUGAAAUGCGUAGAUAUCGGAAGGAACAUCAGUGGCGAAAGCGGCUUCCUGGUCCAGCACCGACGUUCAGGCACGAAAGCGUGGGGAGCAAACAGG